AUUGAACGCUGGCGGCAUGCCUUACACAUGCAAGUCGAACGGCAGCACGGGAGCAAUCCUGGUGGCGAGUGGCGAACGGGUGAGUAAUAUAUCGGAACGUGCCCAGUCGUGGGGAUAACGUAGCGAAAGCUACGCUAAUACCGCAUACGAUCUAUGGAUGAAAGCGGGGGGAUCGCAAGACCUCGCGCGAUUGGAGCGGCCGAUAUCAGAUUAGGUAGUUGGUGAGGUAAAGGCUCACCAAGCCGACGAUCUGUAGCUGGUCUGAGAGGACGACCAGCCACACUGGGACUGAGACACGGCCCAGACUCCUACGGGAGGCAGCAGUGGGGAAUUUUGGGACAAUGGGCGCAAGCCUGAUCCAGCAAUGCCGCGUGCAGGAUGAAGGCCUCGG
rnacentral:rRNA from 1 species